rnacentral:tRNA from 1 species
GGGGUCGUAGCUCAGUUUGGUUAGAGCGCUUCCCUGUCACGGAAGAGGUCGCGAGUCCGAGUCUCGUCGGCCCCG